GUUUAGGUUUGCCUUUGCGUGGCCACCGUGAUGAUGCUAAAUAUCAUCCAGAGCUGAUGAGGCUGCAGAUUCUUCCCAUAGAGAGCAAAUGGCUCUAAUUUUACGUUUUAUUGAUAAGAAUAUGGACAUAAGAGAGGAGUUCAUUGCCUUUCUUCAAUGUAAGUGGGGAUUGAGUGGAGAGAACCUUGCUAAAUUAAUUCUAGAUAAACUUAAAGACCUUGGCUUGCCAAUUGAAGACUGUCGCGGACAAGGUUAUGAUGGUGCGGGUGCUGUUGCAGGUUGUGUUAAAGGUUUGGCUGCCCAAAUUUUGAAGCUCAACUCGAAAGCAUUAUAUACCCACUGUUAUAGUCAUAGGCUUAAUUUGUCAGUUUGUGAUUCUUUGUCAGAUAUUGAGGUUAAGAAAGUACUUAACAAAAUAAAAGAUGUGACAAAUUUUA